rnacentral:rRNA from 1 species
UACGUAGGGUGCAAGCGUUGUCCGGAAUUAUUGGGCGUAAAGAGCUCGUAGGCGGUGUGUCGCGUCGGCCGUGAAAACCUGCAGCUUAACUGUGGGCUUGCGGUCGAUACGGGCAUCACUGGAGUUCGGCAGGGGAGACUGGAAUUCCUGGUGUAGCGGUGAAAUGCGCAGAUAUCAGGAAGAACACCCGUGGCGAAGGCGGCUCUCUGGGACGGUACUGACGCUGAGACGCGAAAGCGUGGGGAGCGAACAGG